rnacentral:rRNA from 1 species
CUACGGGGCGCAGCAGGCGCGAAAACUUUACAAUGCGAGAAAUCGUGAUAAGGGAACCCCGAGUGCCCGUAAAUUCGGGCUGUCCGCCAGUGUAAAUAACUGGUGAAGAAAGGGCCGGGCAAGACCGGUGCCAGCCGCCGCGGUAAUACCGGCGGCUCGAGUGGUGGCCACUAUUACUGGGCUUAAAGCGUCCGUAGCUGGAUUGUUAAGUCUCUUGGGAAAUCCACCGGCUCAACCGAUGGGCGUUCAGGAGAAACUGGCAAUCUAGGGACCGGGAGAGGUGAGAGGUACUCCAGGGGUAGGAGUGAAAUCCUGUAAUCCUUGGGGGACCACCUGUGGCGAAGGCGUCUCACUAGAACGGCUCCGACAGUGAGGGACGAAAGCUGGGGGAGCAAACCGGAUUAGAUACCCGGGUAGUCCCAGCUGUAAACGAUGCGCGUUAGGUGUAUCGGUGACCACGAGUCAUCGAGGUGCCGAAGGGAAACCGUGAAACGUG